UCCCUCUUUCUGCUUGUUUUCAGCUAGCUGGUGAAAGAUUUUGUGUAUCGGUAUUUCUUUUGCAAGUGUUCGACGAAAACAGAGUUUGCUGUUUCAUUGGAUUGACAGAGCAUAGUUGCAACAUGCCACGGAAAAAGUACUGGAGAAAAACAAGAUUCCAUAAGGAGACAAAAGGGGAUGGAAACGUGUCAAAAAACAAUGACAGUGACGAGUCUGGGACUGUUGUUUUUACAGAGAUAAGUACAGUUUCUGGACAUUUUCAUCAAGGACAUCCACAAUUUAUGCCAAACAGUGGAGCACAAUGUGUGGCUAAUAGUUGCUCAGCUAUUCUGUAUGAUAAAGUAAAGCCAGUUUCUAUGUGGACUAGUAAUGAUCUUGAUGCUGUAUUGAUUUCUGGUGAUGAAUUGUACUCUAGUGUUAAACCUAAUCUUCCUGCUGGUGAGACCCAUUUGCUCAUUUCAGACAUUCCAGAUGUGAUGGACAUGCACAAUGGUACUUUCAGUAUAAGGGCAGGUGAAUCUUUGACAGGUUAUGUACUUGGUAUUGUUCAUGCAGAUCUGCAGUCUGAUAUUUUCAUGCCACUGAGAGAUGCUCUUGAUAGAACACUAUCUGUGUUUACUUCGUGCCUUAUAACCUUCAAUUCUUCUACAUUUGCUAUCAUUAAACGAGACCAGUACUUAUAUGUCAUUGAUUCUCAUUCCAGGAAUGUAGAAGGUGUACAAGUUGUUGAUGGGACUGCUGUAAGCAUCAGAUACACAGGUAUAGAAGCGGUGUUUCAACACUGUACUCGUCUGGCUAUUUCACUUAACACUGGAGCUUAGGUCAUGGAAAUCUCAGUAAUUGUUGGCACUGGAGCUUGUGGGAGAAAAAAACUUUUGAUAUCUGCAACUGCAACUUCCUGUGAAGUGAAUCCCAGAAAUUCAGUGCUUAUCGAUGCAGCUCAAAUUGUAUCCCAGUUGUCUUCUAGUUAAUGCACUUCAGUGAUCAAUUUCUGAGGGUCUUGGUGGCAAGGUGGACGAUUAUGGCAGAAACAUGCUAUUGGACAUCAUUUGUUGGACACCUCCUGCAGUCCACCGCAGUAUAAUACAAGUGCUCUCCUCCUCUCACCAUUACCACUCUGCGUUUAUCUUCGGAUAGACACUGGCGGCUCAGGACCUUAUGGAAUGGACCAGUAUAUCCCGCAAAAAUGGAACAAAAUGGCAGCAAAGAACUCAAAAGUCGUAUAUGCCAUCUUAAGUCAGUAUCACUGUGGGUGAUGGAGAGUAACACUUCCAUCUAAACAAAUGUUACCUCUAGAACACUAAUACUGCGAAGAACUUGCGCAUGUGGUUUCUUUUUAUGACAACUUGACAAAUCUAUCUUAUAUGGUUAGAUCUGCUGAGAAGGAUGGUAAAAUGUUAGGUGUGCUGGGAAGCAUAAUUCGUGUGGCAAAUCAAGAAAAUCGCCAGAUCACAGAAGCUAUCGGCUGGCUGGAAAGUUGAAGAUACAACAUCUAGAUUGAAUUAAAUGAUGACCUAUAACAGCUACAGAAAACUUUCGCUAUUUCUAAUUCAGGUAUUAACCAUUCCGGAUGUGAGCCACGUGUAACAAGCCCUUUAUGAUAGUAACAUUUAUUGGUGGUAACACCUGAAUGAACUGUCUUGUAGAUACUUCACUAACUGUACCGUAACACCAUCAUGUAUGCGAAACUGAAACUGUAAUUCAAAAUUGAGGUAAUAUAUAUAUUCGCCUUACAUACCACAAAUCUCUGUGAGUUCAACUCCAGCUUAUGCUAUCUUCUUCUCUGUUUGUAAGUGGAAAGCUCUGGCUAUAAGUGGAAAGGUCCGACAGCAACCUGCAGAAGGUCGUGGGUUUCCCUAGAGCCCGGUUUCCUCCCACCAUAAUGCUGGCUGCCGUCGUAUAAGUGAAAUAUUCUUUAGCACGGCGUAAACACCAAUCGAAUAAGUAAAUAAAGACAUACCCCAAAGUAUGGACAUCUCUGAUUUUUGUAAGUACAAUUACAGUGGAUUUUUUUAGUCGCUCUGGCGGGCAACCAAGGCGUUCAACUCUGGUUCACCCCUCUCACCAUGGUUGCCACCCACUUUUUGUGACAUUUUGGUAUAUGAUCAUUUAACGUACAGUACAAUAAAAUGCAAUGACAUAAAAAAUAUCUGAUAAAAGUGAUUUUGUGAUUGGUGCUGAAAUGGUUAAAUACGUUUUGAUCCAUCAGUUAUGUUGCCUUUGAAUACCCUUUUGAAAAGUAUGAAACUAAAUUUUUAGGCAGCCAUAUUCAUUUUCAUUGAUGUACGGAUUGGGUGACAGCCAAAUUACAUUUUUGUGAACAGAAUUUUUCGGACAUGUAUUUUUUGACCAAAUUCAAAGCACGGUCGAUUCAUGAAUGAAAUGUACACUUUAUCCGAAUAUAGCCGACAUAUUUCCUGGAUGAUACAGAAGACGGCUUAUAUCGUAUAUGUAGUAGCAGAUUAGUCAAGUAUGUUUUGUACGGUAUAUUCGACCGUGAAUGUAAUAUUUGAUGUUAUAUUUUGUUGUUGUGUGAGACGACACUGUAGGAUGAAUUAAGUUUUGUAACAGAAGAUAUAAACCAAGAGAAAGGUCGUUAUUGAGCGAUUAUACAGUACGAAGCAUUUUAAUUUUUAUCAUGUACUGUGAAGAGUUCUUUUCCGUCGAGCCUCAGUAAGCGUCAUUUUCAUUUAGCUUGUUUAUGUACGAUUGGUAUAACUGUGUUAUGGCAAAGUAAAUCCAAAGGGCAGAACUCUUAAUCAGUGAUUGUUUCUCCCAAGGAAAGUUCGACCAUGGAAAGACUGCACUUUUGAGGACAUGCAUGCAAUCCUGGCUUUCCCGCCGAGCGAGUCACGCGGGCGCUCAAAUGCGACUUCACCCUUACGGGGUCGUCUCACAUUUUCGAAUGGUCAUUUAUCUAUUUCAAUUCUGUCGAUUUUCUAACCGUUCACGGGUCCCCCA